CUACGGGUGGCUGCAGUGGGGAAUAUUGCACAAUGGGCGCAAGCCUGAUGCAGCAACGCCGCGUGAGGGAUGAAGGCCUUCGGGUUGUAAACCUCUUUUAGCAGGGAAGAAGCGAAAGUGACGGUACCUGCAGAAAAAGCACCGGCUAACUACGUGCCAGCAGCCGCGGUAAUACGUAGGGUGCAAGCGUUGUCCGGAAUUAUUGGGCGUAAAGAGCUCGUAGGCGGUUUGUCACGUCUGCUGUGAAAAUCCAAGGCUCAACCUUGGACUUGCAGUGGGUACGGGCAGGCUAGAGUGCGGUAGGGGAGAUGGGAAUUCCUGGUGUAGCGGUGGAAUGCGCAGAUAUCAGGAGGAACACCAAUGGCGAAGGCACAUCUCUGGGCCGUAACUGACGCUGAGGAGCGAAAGCGUGGGGAGCGAACAGGAUUAGAUACCCGCGUAGUC
rnacentral:rRNA from 1 species